UACGCACGCUGGCGGCGUGCUUAACACAUGCAAGUCGAACGGUGAAGCGCCUUCCUUUUUGGUGGGUGUGGAUGAGUGGCGAACGGGUGAGUAACACGUGAGUAACCUGCCCCCUUCUUCUGGAUAACCGCAUGAAAGUGUGGCUAAUACGGGAUAUUCUGGGUCUGUCGCAUGAUGGGUCUGGGAAAGAUAUUGUUUCGGUGGGGGAUGGGCUCGCGGCCUAUCAGCUUGUUGGUGGGGGGAUGGCCUACCAAGGCGGUGACGGGUAGCCGGCCUGAGAGGGUGGACGGUCACACUGGGACUGAGACACGGCCCAGACUCCUACGGGAGGCAGCAGUGGGGAAUAUUGCACAAUGGGCGCAAGCCUGAUGCAGCGACGCCGCGUGAGGGAUGGAGGCCUUCGGGUUGUGAACCUCUUUCGCCAGUGAAGCAGGCCUGCCUCGUUUGUGGGUGGGUUGACGGUAGCUGGAUAAGAAGCGCCGGCUAACUACGUG
rnacentral:rRNA from 1 species